UAGUGUUUUGCGUUCAUAUUCUUAACUUUGGACAUAGAUUUAUUAAUAUAUUAUUAAAAUGAUAAGAUCAUUAAUGCAUUGUCGGUAAACCAUGCUUUCAAUGAAACUGGCUUUAAAAACAAUAACUCGUUUUAGUCAUUUGUGCAUUGCAUGUCGUUACCACUAAUGAGCACAAGAUGGCAGAUGACUUCUUCGCCACUAUCAUUUUGAGUCGUAUUUUAAAGGAAGAUUUACAAGCAAUAGCAUGCAAUGAUUUUACUAUAGCCAACUUAUUAAAUGAAGAUCCAAAAUUAGGAAGUCAAAUGCAGUUUGAGAUUUAUUAAGAAUAGUGUGUUAUAUAACAGGAUAUAGAAGAGGCAGAUCAUUAUUUUCACACUCCAUCACAGCAGGUGGCGGUAUGCACCUUUAAAGUUGGUUCGUAACCCGCCAUUAAACCAAAAGAAGAAGAUGAAGAUUGUAACGUCAGCUCAUCGUAAGCAUUAGAUUAUUCACCCAGUGUUUAUUCACAAGAUUGACCGAAGCUUAUUUAGAUGACCAAAUUAUGAACAAUGACCCACCCUGAGGCUGUAAGAGUGUGCCUGAUGAGAGAAUGCGUACUUGAACCAGUUAUAGGACUUAAUAUAUUCAAGAAGACCAAGCGAUCCUUAUAGGACUACAUGCAAAGCAAUGUACUCCAGACCGCACAACUGGACAUACAGAUUGUGCCCUGAUGCCAUCUGCCCCGUUCUCCCAGCCUCAUCUUCCCUCUCUAUGCCUAGCUUCACAUCGGUUGGCUCUUCUUUGGCUCUCUUCAUCCCGUCUGCCUGCCUCGCCGCUCUCCCUGAUAACAUUUCCUGACUGAUGCCUUGCACUCUGACUCUUUCUGCAAGGUGCCAUUCUCAGCAGUGACUCAAUUUAGUGCCACCCUGCUGCUUGGCAUUGCACUUCUGAGGUCAUCACCAUCUUUCUUCAGCCAAACAAAAUGAUUCUCACCAACCACCCCGGCUCUGCUGAGCUUGAUGUUGGAGGUCUGCUGUUUUUGAAGCAGGGGACCACUGUCCAUUAAAGGCUUCAUAAACCAUUUAACAAAAUCACAUAAGAUAGUGUAGUUCAUACUCCAUGCGAUGUGCCAUACAAUGGAAGGGCCAUGUUCCUUAUCACAUCUGGAUACUGCAAAGCUCCUGUCUCCUCAACAAUUUACGAACUAAUCAAUUAUUAAAUGAAGAAAUGCUAUGUAAAAGCAAAGAUAUUUCUUCCUGUGGAAUUUGAGUCUUAAAUGUAGUAAUUACUGUUUUAUGGCAUAAAUAAAAGUUAAAUAUUAUAUUA